rnacentral:rRNA from 1 species
UACGGAGGGUGCGAGCGUUGUCCGGAAUCACUGGGCGUAAAGGGCGCGUAGGCGGCAUGCCAAGCGUGUGGUGAAAGCCCGGGGCUCAACCCCGGGUCGGCCGUGCGGACUGGCGUGCUCGAGCACUGUAGGGGCGGGUGGAAUUCCGGGUGUAGCGGUGGAAUGCGUAGGAGGAUCCGGAAGAACACCGGUGGCGAAGG